AAUGAGAUCCGCGCAACACUGGUUGACCACGUUGUCAACCACGGCCUGACGCUGAGGGAGGCUGGACUGCGAGUACAGCCAAAUCUAAGCCGAUAUACAGUGGCAAGUGUGAUGAGAACAUUUCGACUGGAAAAUAGGAUUGAGGGUCAGGGACGACAAGGGGGAAGGCCUCCUAUGUUCACAGAACAGCAAGAGAGGGAGAUAGUAAACAUGGUUUUGGCCAACAAUGCUAUAACACUCAAGCAGCUCCAAGCUAACAUUGUCAAUAACCAUGCCAUUUUCCACGAUAUCCAUCAGGUCUCAACAUCAACACUGGCACGCAUCC